rnacentral:rRNA from 1 species
GGGGAAUAUUGGACAAUGGGCGAAAGCCUGAUCCAGCAAUGCCGCGUGGAUGAAGAAGGUCUUCGGAUUGUAAAGUCCUUUCGGCGGGGACGAUGAUGACGGUACCCGCAGAAGAAGCCCCGGCUAACUUCGUGCCAGCAGCCGCGGUAAUACGAAGGGGGCUAGCGUUGCUCGGAAUUACUGGGCGUAAAGGGCGCGUAGGCGGACCACUCAGUCAGGCGUGAAAGCCCCGGGCUCAACCUGGGAACUGCGCUUGAGACUUGUGGUCUUGAGGGCGAGAGAGGGUGGUGGAAUUCCCAGUGUAGAGGUGAAAUUCGUAGAUAUUGGGAAGAACACCGGUGGCGAAGGCGGCCACCUGGCUCGCAUCUGACGCUGAGGCGCGAAAGCGUGGGGAGCAAAC